UAUACAUAUCAAAAGAGUGGUCUUCUUACGCCUUUCUCUUCAUUGAGAACUUCAUGAGAAAAAACCCUCCAGUGAAUUGAAGGUUUCUUCAAACCCAUAUCCAGCAAAGGAAUUUUUCGAUCAAGUAUACAUAUCGUUCUCUACCACAAUAGCUCGCUGAAAAUGGUGUUGUCGUAAUAUCCAAUAUCAUAGUGUGUAGAUGAUACUAUGUGAAUAGCCUUCAAGCUUCAACAUCUCUUCAAGCUAGUUUGAAAAACUCUACAAUUAGUUGCUUAUACUUGAUCUGAUUUCCUUUUUUGGUUAUUCUGUAAUUCAAUUUUUGUAGAUUGUAAAUUAAUUAUUUCUUCCAUGUCAAUUAUGAUUAAAUUCUGAAAAGUGUGAUAUGUAAUUGGAAACGUGUGCUGGUGUCUUUACUUGUCAUUGGUUGCCUUGGUCCUCAUGUCUCCGCUCCUCUCUUAGACCAUCAUAAUAACCUCUUAUGCCUUCUUACCAUUUUUUUCAGGGUGUUGCAAAUUAGUUACGUGAAGAGAAUAUUGUCGUCAUUGAAUUUGUUAGUAUGGCUGAGAAAGAUUGGAGUCAUGAUUCAAGAAGGUACAAGACAAAAGAAAAAAGUGGAAAGCCCGACAUAUGUUCAAGCUGGAACACUUACAUCUUUGGCAAAUAAAAAAAGGUUGUUGCGGACCAGAAAAACGAAUAUUCCAGCUAGCUUUAUACGAUUAACUAAAGAGCGUCAGGUUCUGAAAAAUUUAAUGGAAGAACAUUUGCUACCAAUGCCAAAACAUCAGAGGGUAGGAGCCCAUUUACAAAGUGAUUCAACCACCCCUACAACAUAAUCAGUAGAGCAAGAAGUGCAAUUGGAUGCUAAUACUCCUAUAGUAAAUGAACAAGGUAAGAACAUUUAGAUUUUAUAUUAAAAUAUUGACAUCCUAUAUCUAUUUUACUAAAUUGGAGGAUACUUUUGAUUUUUAUUAUUGUAGGAUCUUGUACUAACUAAAAAUAAAGACGUAAAACAAGGAUGCUAAGUGUACAUGGAAGGAGUGAACGUAAGUUAAUUGUGGUCAAUGAGUUUGGUCAACUUGUUGGUCCUACUAAAGAUGUUGUGAUGGAGGGUUUACCGUGAAAAUGGUAAUAACAAUUAAAUUUGUAGA